GGUCUGCUGUGUUCAAAUGGUGAUUUUCUGUUCUCUGCCCGUCUUAAAAGCUGCGGUGACAAGGUCUUCCAGAAGGAGGAGCAGAACCACUUGUCCUUGGACCUCCACCCGUCGUUGAUAGCUGGCCUCCAAUUCUACUUCAAACCUUCAGAGUUGGAGUGCACCUGCCGGCAGUGCUCUGGAUGCCAGGCAACAGCGGUUCGGCAUUUCCUCACUCUGCCCAGAGUGUUACUCCUUCACAUGAAGCGCUUCCACCACGACGGGGCACGGUUGAGGAAGGUGACCGAUGCUGUCAGCGUUCCUCCAUGGCUGUCUCUGGCCUCCCUCGUUGGAGAGCAGGGUGCUGCAGCUGGGAUAGACCCACUGAGAUCAAGUUAUGGAGAGGGGGAAAUCGCAUCUGGAGCAAAACCAAGUGCAAACAUGGGUAAGAAAAAAGUGAUGGAUUCCUAUCUCAUGCCCAACCGCUUGAGUUUUUCAGUUGUGUACAAAACAGGAUUGUUGGUGUGUUUCUCAGCAGCAGUGGAUCAUCUUGACAGUGCAGGAGACAGGGACAGAGGUCUUCAGGAAGUUCAUGGGAAGGAUCACAGCAACCAGAGCACCUACCGUCUGUCGGGGAUGGUCUCUCACCUCGGGGAGAGCAUCAACACCGGCCACUACGUCAGUGACGUAGCUCGAGAGGACGGCGCCGGAUGGUUGACCCUCAACGACGCCCGUGUGACGCCCGCGGAGACGCCGGUCCUGAGGACCAGAGAGAAGACCGCCUACAUGUUGUUUUACGUCCUAAGUGGAGCAGAAGAGGGAAGCCAUGUCCCACUGGCUCAGAACCAGGAGCCAUCUGGAGCUGAGAGGGACUGACACCUGUGAGGCCCAGGAGAGCGCUUGAUUGGUGGCAGAGUUCCCGUUGUCCGCGGAAACACUGAUUGGUGGUGCCUCUACAGCCCGCUCUGGGGGCCACACCCUGCAGCCCCCCUCUACAGCUGAGGCCCACCUUUAAACGCCCCCCUAGGGGCCACACCCUGAAGCCCCCCUCUACAUCCCCCCCUAGGGGCCACACCCUGAAGCCCCCCUCUACAUCCCCCCUAGGGGCCACACCCUGAAGCCCCCCUCUACAUCCCCCCUAGGGGCCACACCCUGAUGCCCCCCUCUAGGGGACCUGAGGCCCCUCUCUACACCCCCCUCUGGGGGCCACACCCUGCGUCCCCCUUCUACAGCCCCCUCUAGGGGCUAACCAACCCCCUCUACACCCCCCUCUCGGGGCCCUGCGGCCCACCUCUUUGGACUUUAAGGCUGAUCAUAAUGAGGAUCACUUUAUUUUUAUUUUGUAUCAUAAUAAUGAGGAGCAUAUUCAUAUUAUGUAUAAUAAUAAUGCUGAGGAUCAUCUUAUUAUGAAUAAUAAUGUCAUUAUGUGAUCCUUUUUAUUAUUAUGCAUGUAUAAUAAUAAUAAUGAGGAUAACAUUAUUAUGUACAAUAAUAAUGCUGAGGAUCAAAUUAUGUGUAUAAUAAUAAUAUGAUAAUUAUGUAUAAUAUAUAAUAUAAUAGCACUAUAUAUAAUGUAACUAUAAAAAUAAGAUCCCUGUGGAACUAAUAUAUGAUUAUUGAGCUCUGGUUUUCAUUCAAUUUCGUUUAAAUAAAUGUGUUUAUUGUAUAAAUAGUAAAAUAACAAUUAAAAUGUUCAUGAUAUUAAUAAUUUCAAUCAAAUCAAUAAUAAGAUAUCACCAGAGUAUAUAAUAAUAAUAUAUGUCAUCAAUAACCCCACACAUAAAACAGUCAGACACCAUUUCAACCUUCAAGUCACAACAACGUCUAACUGUUCACUGUUUUUAUUUUUUUAUUUCUUAUUGCUUAUGUUUAUUUAUUUAUUUAUUUAUUUAUUUUUUCCACAAUGUCUUGCUUUUUAAAAAAUGUAUGAUGACUAUAUGCUCUGUAAGGUGACCUUGGGUGUCUUGAAAGGCGCCUCUAAAUUAAAUGUAUUAUUAUUAUUAUUAUAAAUGCGUUUACUUGCUA